CAUCUUGAAGAGGUGGAGCAUACAUGGCAGAGAUAAUUUGCCGGAUCAUCUCAAACAUUACCAACAGGACAUGGGCCCGCCGGACGCACCCACUUAUAGACAUUCUGCUUUGUACAUCACUGCCCUGGAGGUGGUUAAAAUGGGCGACAGAAACCUAGAAGCAUGCAAAUUCAUGUUGGAUGGAUUGGUGGAUCUUAGGGAGAGAGGAGCUGAGAUUAGCGCACCAAAUGAUGGCCUAGGCAUCGUUGAGCAGCAGGUCUCGAACAAUGGAGUUGCGGGUGGUUGCAGCAAGAAAACCAAGACUUGUAAGGUGGCGUGCUCUAUAAGAAGUGUUGAAGGGAAUCACAUAACGGCCAUAGGAGAAACAUCGGUGUCGGUUCAUCCACCAGCAAACCAAGGCGAGGGGGCACCGACGUCCAAAGACAUGGCAUCAGAAGGAUCCUGUCCAAAUGCAGAUAGCUACAAUUCAGACUUUUCUGAGGCUGCAUCCAGGUUUACUGUCAAUCUGGAUGAGAGUCUGCUUGCACCAGAAAGGAAAAAGAAACAUGGCCGGCCAACAACAAGUAGGGACAAGGCUCCAUAUGAGAAGGGAAGCAACAAAAGAUCAAGGUUUUGUUCGAUCUGUAGGGGCAAAGGCCACAAGUCAAGCACCUGCCCCGACCGUGGUGACGCCCCUAGAAAAGAAAGGAAAGUGGGCACAUGCAGCAAGUGUGGAGUGCCUGGGCAUAGGAAAACAACAUGCAGCAAGCCGCUCUUGUCCUCGAUGGCCGGUGUUCCUCCAUCUCAUUAGUUUUUCCAAAAUGUUUG
rnacentral:rRNA from 1 species